ensembl:lncRNA
GGGAUUGGUUGCCAUGGCAGUGACGUCAAAGAGUGCCGGGGACAGGGAGCGGAGACACGGAAAAGUGCUGGAGUGGGGUUCUGUGCUUUACAUGCCCCAGGGCAUGGCUCAAUCUGGCAAACCCUGGAGUGAAGCUGCUUUCAGCGUGUGGAGACUGAGUGCCACCGACAGCCUGUUGUCUGUUCGUGCUCAGAGAGUUAUGUGGAAGGACAGGAGUGACUCAGUAAUAGGAAGUAUUAGUUGCACUGAGGCAAAACCAGAAAGAUACACCACAAAGAAGCACCAACUGCCUGGUAUCUUUAAGCUUUGCUUCUGAGAGUAUUUUGUUCUGUAGUUUAUCACUUGCCUGCUCAAGUUUGUUUGGAACUUCCAUACUGCUAAAUAGGACAACUGUUCUGUGUGAGGAGGAGGUGAGCACAACAGAAGACUUUUGUCUUCGGUUUUAACAACAAAACUGAAAGUUGCUCUGGCAAAAUGGCAAUUCAUUGUUAAUUCAUGAGAUGUAGGUGCUCUGGAAAAAUCAAAUACCAGUUUCAUAGCUACCCUUAGGCAUCUCUAAUUUAUGCAAGCAGGGCUUGCCAAGUAACUACUGAGUCUCACUGACCUUAGUAGGUUUGCAGAGGUCAUAUUUUAACACAGAUAAGUUAUGCUUGAACUAUUUUCUCAGUAGGUAUUAGGAGCAAGUGUUUGUGUACACAAUUACAUGCUUUUUGCCAAUCCUCCAUUACAUUUUCUGUUUUUCUUUAGAUUCUUGCUUGUAAGUUCUACAGUAAAUCCUAGAGUUUUUUUUUGUGUUUUUUCUUAAUCUGUUAUCUUAAGUAAGAAACGUGAGUUUUUGAGGACAGCUUCUUUUUUGGGGUCUCAGUAAAACAGAACAAACAAAGGUUUCAUAGACCGCCAGAAAGGCAGUUGUAGGAUCAGGGAAAGUCGGGGUAUGGGAAGCCAGAACAGCCCAAACGUGUGAGUGACAUCAGCAUUUUUCUGAGCCGUUUAUGCUGCUCACUUCUGUCGGUUCCCAGCAGUGCCUGUGUCUUAUGUAAGCUUGCACUGUACAUCCUGUCCUGCUGUUCUCAUGCAUGAAAAUCAUUGGUGUUAUCUUACUGUACGUUUUGAGAGCUGAGCAGUUACUGGCUACUUGUUGUCUCAAAUGUCUGCAUGCAAAUCUCUCACAAGCAUGCUGGAGAGAGCUAUGCCAAGAGCAUGGUGCUGUCCUCCUAGGAGACAUCAGAGGGGUAAGUUGUAGUAAACGCCGCUCGCUCGUCCUUUGCUCUUUCUGGUAAUAGGCACUAUGAAGUAAUGCAGCUACAGAGGUAAUUGUGCUGCUACAGUCUGAAGUGCUGAUCUGUGUCACGUGCAGAUGGACCACUAAUGCAGUUUCGAUGGCUGGUGAUAAAACAGACAUGGAAAACAAAGGACAGUGGUUUCAACAGAAGCUUUAAUGAUGUUAGGACUGGAAAAGAGAGGCUUUUAUAUACUCUUACUGUGCACUGCUUGUUACGGGUCUUGGAAAGAAACUGUGCCUUCAGAUGGACUGAUGCUUUACCCUUGUUCCUGUAGUUAGCAUUUAGUGAUGCAUAAUGAAGGUACUGUCACUCAAUGGGUGAAAUUGGAGCAAACCUUCCAUUACAAGGCUUCAGAAACAAACAUUCCCUCUAUUUUUUUUCUUGCUAAAUCUAUCUGAAAUCGUCAGGCAUAAAAUCCUGCAGUAAUGUGAUCUGUUAAUGCAAAGUAAGUAACUUGGCCACCUUGUUUAAACGCUACCCAGUGCUUCAGUUACGAAGCAAAACUACCUCUGCUUCUUAAAUACUCUUGUCUCUUCUGUUUGUGCUCCUGCAGUAUGAAGGAGACAAGUUUCUGCUCCUCUGCUCUGGUGAAUGCGAUUGUGUGGCACUGUGGCUUGUUUUGGGGGAGCUGUGUUUGGAGGGCUGUAGAGUUUGUUACAAGCUCUGAUAGGAAAGGCUGACUGGCAGGAGAAGUGCACCUGGGUAGGAGUGCGUUUGUGGAAAGGCCUUGGAAGGAAUGAAAGAAUCUUUCUUGUGGCUUCCCAGUGUGAUCCGUUCCAUGCCGCACGAAACAAUUCCUCAUUGUGCUGGAGUGUAAGACUUAACAAGGAAACUGGCCAUCUGAAGAGGAACAGGUGCAAUGCCCUGACGCUUAGAAGCUAACCAGAUUCCUGAGUGAGCAGAUCUUGCAGAAUUUAAGGAAACUUAUUGGCAGAACAUCUAAGAAGGACUUGAAUUUUUGUUUUGAGUAGGGAAUUGAAUGAUCUCUGCUGCCUUUCACACAAAUCUAGGAAUGCAGUGGCUCUAUUUAGUGCUUUUGUUAUUUUCUUGAAGAUAUAGAAAUAUGUUUCAAAAGCAUAUGCAGGAAGAUGGAGUUGCAGCAGCCAUAAGAACUUGUAAGAAAGCACCUGCACGUUGUGCAUUUGGGAUUCCGUGGCAUUAUAUUUUAUUGCUUUACUGAUGCUUACGUGACUAUCAGAAUCCACAUCUAUGUUGUCCAUAUUCAAUAGCCUUUUCAUUUUGUUGAUGUGGACAGAAUCUAUUCAGGAUGCUUAAAUCUGCUAAAAUAUUUAUAAGAAAGUUGGACCUUGGAGCAUGUUUCCCACAGGAUGCAGUGGGUGUCGGGGCUAAAGGUCAGUGCAGACAAAGUAAAGUGAAAGCUCUUUUGCAUUUAUUUUCCUACUUUUUUUUCUUAAUUUUCUUUUGAAAGAGAAUUCUCUGUGUUAAGAAGCACAGAACUUUUCUUUGCUACUUCCUACGUUUCCAUACACUGAGAAGCAGGAAUGGACCUGUAAAUACUUAAGCCUUUUAUUGAAACUUUGCUCCCUUUCUUUAGGAGAGCGGGGAAAAAAAAUGAAACCAACAACCCCAAAUCAGUGCAGUUAAUGUAGUCAUGGGCUCUGAGCAUGGAAGUUCCCGGUGUAAAGGAAAAAAGCCAGAUGGAGUUUUAAGUGACUGUCAUGUACCACUUAAGAAACGCACAUUCCUGAUACUAAUAAAAGGGCCAGAUUGGAGCUACAUAAUUAAUCCCAGUGUCCUUUUCAGCACAUGAUAAGAUUUGGCUACAGCAGUCAUAGAGCUAAUGGAGACAACUGUCAGGUUCUACAAAGCAGUGGAUUGUUUGCCUAAAAUAAAAAUACCUAUGUGAUUAUUCUUGUACAUAUAUUUGUAUCUGCUGGUGAUUAGUACUUAUGUCCCAGUUCAAAUGGAAGAUAAAUGGAGCUGAUUUGCUUUUGAAUCCCCUUACUGCCUUAAGUAUCUGUAUAAAUAUAUACACCAGAUAUGUCUGUAAAUAAAUUAUUCCUAUUAAAUAUAUAUUUAAGAUGGGAAGUAAAUGUUUUUUAUUAUUUUCUUUAGGAGUUAGGUGGCAAAACUUGCUCUCCUUUGGAGUCCAUUUGAAAUAUAGUGACUGAUGAAGGCCAAGGAGCAAUUCUGCAAUUGUUUAUUCGCUGUAUGUGUCCAUGACCUGGAAGAAGCGUGCAGGAAGGGGCUAAAGCAGAAAUGCUUCUGAGAUGGCACAAAGUGUGUGUUGGAGGCAGACAGGAGGAGUGGGCAGAUGGCAGUCAGAACAAAACAGGGAGUUCAAUAACUUGGGACAGCAGUGAGCUGCUCUAACUGGAGAACACCCUUCUAACCAUAAAGGGGAGCUGCUCUGUCUAAGAUUGAGUGUAAGACAUAAAUGAUCCUCCAAAGAAGCUUUUCUCAAAAAAAAAAAGAGCUUAUUUUCUGAAGACAACUUUGUCACUUGAACUAGAGAUGCUUCUUACCUUGACUGAAAAGGCAGACUAUGGGCACAAACUGGAAGACUCCUCAAGGUAAAAUAGGAACAUGUCAUGUGGAGAUACCUGUAUCCUAUUUAAAAUGAUUUGUUUUAAUACUUUGUAGUAAAGUGUCUCCAGGACUCUACCCAUAGAUUAGCCAACCUGGUUUUGGUGCAGCUUUUUCCAGGGAAUAAGACUAAAAUUCCUUUCCUGUAGGAGAAACCAAAUUAGAGUUGAAUAGAGGAAGCUAUAAAAUCAGACCUAUUUACUGCAGGCAGCAAUAUUUGAGUUAAAUGUUAAACUCACUGAAUUAGUGUAAUCAACAUUUGACACCUCAGAAGAGGUAAUACUACUGUGGGAAUGAGGAAGGGCAUCAGCUAUUUGUGUGAUAUCAGACCUAAUAUGUAGCAUGUAUUCAUAUUUCUCCUUAAUUUGGAGAUCCAGGUAUUCAUCUUUCUCUUGUGGUCAGUGCAUGUUGCUGUAUCUCCUCUGCUGAAAAAGCAAAAAUUGCAGGGAAAAAAAAAUUCCAAAAAUAUAUGGCUAUACAUUAUACAGCAACAAUCUGUUAGAAGCCUAUUCUCAGAGAAGGCAAAAAUAUAGCUAAGGAUGCUAAUACUCUUCCUUCCUUUUUCUGUUCUGAUUGCAGGUAAGUCUACUGGUGGGGGUUUUUAUGAGGUGAGGGUAAUACAUUAUGACAAAUUGUUAGUGACAGAUGGAUUUUUUUUACUUAGCUUACUUCUAAAGCAAAAUGAUCUGGAUUAGCCACUUCCUGCCCCCCGAGGUGGCUGCACAACUUCUCAGGUUACCUAAAUUAAAGACUUAAUUUGGCUCAGUAAGUUACUCUAUCAGGUUGAGAGCCAAGAAGGUGUUUUAUAAAUACAUGAUUUCUGCAUGCUGAGCAGUGUUGUUCAGUCAGAGGGAAGAGGAGAAUGGGGGGGGGAGUCUUUAAUUGCUGCCUUCAGUUACCUAAUGGAUCAUGACAUGAAACCAGCUCUUUCUUGGUGUUGUGCAGCAAAAGGGUGAGAAGCACUGGGCACAAGAUGCAGCAAAGGAAAUUCCAGAUAGGUGUAAGGCAGAAGAAAAAAGAUAGACCUGUAGCUACACAGACGUGACUAGAUUGCUUGUAGAAGCUAUGAAAUAUCUUUGCUUGGGGAUGCUCAGAUUUUGAGCAGGGAGUUUGCUGUAGGUGAUUUCCAGAGAGCCUUCCAGAGGUCAUUUCCACUGUAAGAUGUUUUUGGUUUCCAUUUGGUGAUUAGUUCACGACUUUUCUUCACCGAGAAGGCUUAUCGUUCUGAGCUGUCUUUCUGAUCUUCGAUGGUAAUCACUUUUCAUGUCUCAUUUGUUAAAAUUAUGCUCACUAGAGUCAGAAAUGGUGUCUGUGGAGACAGUGCUUUUGUAAAGCAUGUAUUAACUGAAAGGUUCUGACUGCAUGUCUGUUUUACUGUAUUUGUCCAAGUAAAGACUUCCAAAAGUGAAACCAGCUUUGAAGGUUCUCUUACAGUGCUGUUUUUGGUGCUGUUUUUUCAACUUCAGUUAAUUUUAUGUAUUUACAGUUCACAGGACUAAUACUCAGCAGAAUAUUUUGGAGCAGAGUGAGCUAAGAAGUUGAAGACAGGUUGUAUUCUCUUUAAGAGAAAAAUUCUAGGGUGUGAACUUUGAUGCAGAUGUGCAACUUAAUGGUGUAUUCAAUUUCUGCCUACUGUUCCUUUGUUUUAAACUGCUUAUUUAAAAGCAUAAGAACACCCCUUCCUCUUUCUGUGUUUGACCCCCAGCAUUCUGCAUGCUCAGUAUACUCCAGCUAAUACUGAGAUUAUUUGGAUUGCAGGUGAAUGUCUGCUUUUUCAUGGGCUGUGGAGAAGGACAGUGAGCAGCCUUUGUAGUUGCUACUCCUGUAUAUUUUUGGGAAAUAAUGCAAGAAAUGAAUAGGGGCCAGUUUUGUCUUGCAUGCUGUGUCUGUUCUUGAGUUUGUUAGAUUGUAGUCAUUCUCUCUGAUGCAGUUCUAGAUUGAUGGUCAAUUAUUUUUACCUCGUAAACCUCCAUUCUUUGAAACGAGUGAAUCAUGGGCCAGAGUGUGUAGGACAGCUUUUUUCUUAUGCUUAGUCACAGGAGACUAAGCUUACAGUUUUAUUCUAACUUAGCUCCCCAAGAUAUGCAGAGCAGCUGGGUGGAUGCUGUUCUUAAUUAGGAUCUGAACUUUAUUUUGGCUCGCACCAUCACUGUUUCAUUGUUUAUCUUCCUUUGGUAAGAUGAGAACAGUAUCUUAUGACAAAAACAUUUAGUUGUUUGGUUUUCUGUAAUGGUUAUGUAUGACAUUUGCAUCCUCACUGAAAUUUGGGCUUAGAUAUGUUAAUAGUGUACUGUUUUACACAUUCCCAUGCAUUCUUAAAAUAUGAGAUGCUUUUUUUGACAGCUCAAUUUAAAACUUUUUACUUCCUACACAGUGAAACUGUCAGUUUUAGUGUUUGCACAUAUGUAUAUAUUUAGUGUAUCCUUCUAGUAUUUGAAGAGAGCUUCUAAGCAGGAAGGGGAGUGACUUUUUACAUGGUCUGAUAGUGAUAGCUCAAGGGAGAAUGGCUUUAAACUAAAGGAGGGGAGAUUUAGGUUAGAUGUUAUGGAAAAAAAAAUCCUUUCUCAGAGGAUAGUGAGGCACAGGAGCAGGCUGCCCACAGACGUUGUGGCUGCCCCAUCCUGGUGGUGUUCAAGGCUGAGUUGGAUGGGGCCCUGGGCAGCUUGAUCCAGUGAGAGGCAACCGUACCCAUGGCACGGAGUUGGAGCUUGGUUAUCUUUAAGGUUCCUUCCAAUGUAAGCCAUUCUGUGAUUAGUGAUUGUAAGAAGCAGAGCGUGUGGUUUCCUGAAAAUAUACAGGAAAUGCAGUUCUAAAACUACUUACAUAUGCUUCCUACUUCAUAAUUCAUUGUGCACUGUAAACUUCUAAUGCUAUAGCGAACUCUGUGGCUGUUAAAUGAUCAGACUGCCCUAUGUUAGGACAGAUUGUAAUCUAUCUGAAUCACUGCGUGACAUUUAUGCUGUUGAAAUUGAAUUGGACUAUGUGAGAGCUGAAAGCUAUGGCACUUAAAUUCAGCACUGAUUCAGACACUGUGUUUUACUCGGGGCAAAUAACUUAAUGUCUAAUACUCAGUUAUGUUCUGGUCAGUAGAUGUGACUUAAAAUAAUUGGAGCAAUAGCAGGGAUCUGCUUUAACUUUCUUUUUCAGUUAGCUAUUUGUGCAUGAGAACUGAGACUUCUAAUUCACUGAGUAAUUGUAAUCAUGCUGAUCAUGGAAUGAGGAUAUCUUAAGAUAUGGGAAGAAAAUAAGCUCUGUGGGAAAUACAUAAGCUCUCUUUAGCUUCCUUGUUCCCCUGCAUCUUCCUUUCCCUUCUUGCUUUCCUUCUUCCCAUCUUGUUUAACUUUCUGAUCACGGUGCGGUCCAAGCUCAGUAUGACUGAUAAAAUAAUAUGUGGCACUUGGGAAAACUGCAGUACCUCUCUGUGACCUGUGUGGCUUGGGUUUGGAAACUGAAAGAGCACAAACUUCAGGUAUCACAGCAGUGCCCUUUUUGUUGGUGUUAAACCUCUUGGUGAAUCCCUUGUACUGACAGCUUAAGAGCCAGAUUGGUAAAUGUUGUGUGUCAGGAACAGUUUAUGUAGUUUAAAGAUUCACAUGGUUCUUCACAUUUUCUGUAUGAGGAAUUUGAAGGGGAAUUCACAUUGCAAGAAAUGCUACAUUCAUUGUUGUUCUUCAGCAAAUACAGUUAACAGCAUUAAUGGAAGCCAGCAAUCAAUGUCCUUCUGUUUGCAGUGACGUUAGAAUAAGUCCUGGUUCUGUGCUUUUAAGCUUUAGCAGGGUUAGAGGACAGAACCUUUGACAAAAGCCGGAGUGUGGUGUCUUUUUGUAUUUGUUUGUAAGUGUUCAGGAGAAUAGCAGAAGAUGCUUAAUCUUCAGUUUUCAUAGAAGAACUUUUAUGGAAGUUCUAUCCUUCAAAAGUGUAGUUGCACGGAACUACACUGCAGAUAUAUUUUCUUAAUGUUUUUGGAUAGAGCUGAAAAUUUAACUCCUUUGUACAAACAUGAUCACACUGUUAGAUGUUGUGCUGGGGUUGGUAGCUGACAGUUUGGUAAAACAGCAAGAGACUUCACUGUCAUUUGUAUUGGUUUUUUUGUGAUGAUCUGAGUGUUAAAAUGAAGCUGGAGGGAGUGUCCUCUCUUUAGGCAGGUGACAUUGUGGUAACCUUCAUUACUUCCUUAAGAAGCAAGUGUUGAAGGAGAGCAGCACAAGAAAUGGUUCACUGCAGCAUAAUGCUUAGCAGCCUAAUUAGUCGAAUACCAUGUGCCUACCUCUGCAUGAAAUAACCCAUUUCUUCACAAGGUAAAAUAGGAAUUUUCAGUUUUGGAACAGCCUGAAGAGGCCUUUGUUGCAAAUGUCCGUUGGCUUUUUAACUAUUUAUUCUCAAAUAAUGAAGGUCAGCAUGGUAUCCAUAGAGACUGCAUGCAGCUUCCUCGUUAAUCUUGGCAAACUCCUGUAAUAACUACAUUCACUUAAUACUAACAAGUGUUCACAUUUCAUUAAUGGGAGAACAGUAUGGGAUUGACAUUCUGUAACUGAGAAAUCUUGAAUGUGUAGUUUUUCUUCUUUAAACUCUGUUAGAAUUUCCCUUUACGAGUUGCCUUGGAGGCCUGAACAGCCUCAGAACAAGCAACUUUAAAUUGCAGGAGUCUGCGUAUUUCCUGGAAGCAGAAAACUUCUUACUGGCUAAGCCUUUUCUUUCUGAAAGGAUCAAGAAUGAUAAACAAGGAUAAAUGGGUCUGCUUUCAGCUCUGUUAGUAAAAGGAAAGUUUUCUGCUAUGAACUAGAAUAUAAAGGCAUUGAAGUAUUAUGUAAAUAUGAUCAAGCUAGAAUGAUAAGAUUUAAAAAAAAUAACCUCAUAGCAGACUCUCCACCUCUGCUUUUUUUUCUUCCUUUUUCUUUAACCAAGAAUGGGAGAAUUUCUGCAUCACCAGAACACCGCUGAAGUCCUUUGUAUUUGACUGUCAGAUUACUUCUGUGCAGAAAAUUCUAAUCAGAGUGUUAAUAUGAAAUAACUGAGUGCUGUAUGCUUAAUAAUGACUUUGAUUUAAAUUAAAUUCUUUGUUCUUUAAUAGUACUUUGUCAUUUAAAUACUUUUAAUAUUGAAAGGGUUCUUUUAACUGAGAAGAAAGAAAUUGACUGCAUCAGAACAGAAUGCAGUCUUGUGGGACUUUCUGGUACUGAGUUGCUGAAGGGGGGGAAGUAAAAUGGUUCCAUCCAGAGGCUGUUAUUGUUUUAUUCCCACCCUGACACUUUCAAUGCUUACCCCAGGAUAUAUAUAUAUAGAGAGAGAG